rnacentral:rRNA from 1 species
GGUGGCGAGUGGCGGACGGGUGAGGAAUACAUCGGAAUCUACUCUGUCGUGGGGGAUAACGUAGGGAAACUUACGCUAAUACCGCAUACGACCUACGGGUGAAAGCAGGGGAUCUUCGGACCUUGCGCGAUUGAAUGAGCCGAUGUCGGAUUAGCUAGUUGGCGGGGUAAAGGCCCACCAAGGCGACGAUCCGUAGCUGGUCUGAGAGGAUGAUCAGCCACACUGGAACUGAGACACGGUCCAGACUCCUACGGGAGGCAACACUGGGGAAUAUUGGACAAUGGGCGCAAGCCUGAUCCAGCCAUACCGCGUGGGUGAAGAAGGCCUUCGGGUUGUAAAGCCCUUUUGUUGGGAAAGAAAUCCAUCUGGUUAAUACCCGGGUGGGAUGACGGUACCCAAAGAAUAAUCACCGGCUAACUUCGUGCCAGCAGCCGCGGUAAUACGAAGGGUGCAAGCGUUACUCGGAAUUACUGGGCGUAAAGCGUGCGUAUGUGGUCGUUUGAGUCCGUUGUGAAACCCUGGGCUCAACCUGGGAACUGCGUGGAUACUGGGCGACUAGAAUGUGGUAGAAUUAGCGGAAUCCUGGUGAGCAUGAUAUGCGUAGAGAUCACGAUGAACAUCCUGGCUAAUGCAGCUACCGGACCACAUUGACACUGACGCACGAAGCGUGGGAGCAACAGGAUGGAUACCUGGUAGUCACACCCUAACGAUGCUACUGGAU